GGGGAUGUAGUAUAACCUGGCUAGAAAUGAUUUAAUUCACUACAGUGGGUGGCUCCAGACCACCAGAUCUGGGUUCGAAUCCCAGCAUCCCCA
rnacentral:tRNA from 1 species